rnacentral:rRNA from 1 species
AUUGAACGCUGGCGGCAGGCCUAACACAUGCAAGUCGAGCGGGGACUCCGGUCCUAGCGGCGCACGGGUGAGUAAUGCGUGGGAAUCUGCCCAGUAGUGGGGGAUAACGUCUCGAAAGGGACGCUAAUACCGCAUACGUUCUACGGGAGAAAGAGGGGGAUCUUCGGACCUCUCGCUAUUGGUUGAGCCCAAGUCGGAUUAGCUAGUUGGUAGGGUAAUGGCCUACCAAGGCGACGAUCCGUAGCCGGUCUGAGAGGAUGAUCAGCCACACUGGAACUGAGACACGGUCCAGACUCCUACGGGAGGCAGCAGUGGGGAAUAUUGGACAAUGGGCGAAAGCCUGAUCCAGCCAUGCCGCGUGUGUGAAGAAGGCCUUCGGGUUGUAAAGCACUUUAAGCGGGGAGGAAGGUCAGCGGGCUAAUACCUCGCUGUUUUGACGUUACCCGCAGAAUAAGCACCGGCUAACUCUGUG